rnacentral:sRNA from 1 species
UAAUCCUUUAAGAAUUGUCCUGUGAGGCAAGCAAGGAGUAUCAUGUAGAGAUGGGGCGACUUUUUUGUUGUACCUAGAUUUUCUGAAACCUCCUUGGUAAGGAGGUUUUUUUCUGU